UUGAGAAAUCCAAUACCAGUACUGAUGGUCCUGAAGGAGUCAUCGGUACUGGUCUUUUUUAAAAAUGUAAACAGCGCUCAAAAUCCAACAUACGGAAUAACAGUUCGAUUGACGCGUUCAAAACUACAUAUUCACAGAAAGAAGACUAUUGAUGCCGUUUAAAGUAAAGAAGCAAAAACUGUCAUACUUUUGUGAACCAUGCAUCACAUAAAUUUCUUCACCAAACUAUACCAGAUGUGUACCUUCGGACGAGAAAACUUGCAGAAUAAUAAAGUCCCGCCCAGAUGUUCGUUUCGUUGAGUCAGCAGCGGUUCUCAUUAUAUUAUGUAAUUUUUUCUAUACUAUAUUGUGACCACGGCUAUUUUGUAAUAAAUGUU